CUGACACAGCUGCGUGAUUCCCGAGGCACGUCCUGGCCCUGCUGGCUGGGGAGCUGCAGGGGUCUGGUUGCGCGGGUAGAACCCUUGAACACUAGACUCCCACCGAGCCACCGCCGCCUCACUGCGCCCUACUCACUCGACCCCCCCACCACCGCAAUUGUAGGAGGCGACCCUAGAGCAAGGAACCCUCGGGGAUCGCGGCCUCAGAAAACCCCAUCCGGCAGGAGAGGCCCCCUGCUGCCUCCCCACUGCAGCUCCCCUAGGCGCAUGCAAAACUCUUAAGUAUUCCCUACCGGUCCUCUCUAACCACCCCAGCACCCCGCUUCCGAUACUCUGUGCUGCUUUAGCCCCCAACCCUAGGACCUCACUCCAGGCCAUUCUCUCCUUGCUGUCCUAAAUGGAAAGGACCUUGACCUCCGCGGGGCCCUGGGGAGCACACACACACACAUCCCCAGGGGAGCCAGUCUUCUGCCCCCACAGCACCAGGGAUUCCCUGGGGGCCCUGGAAGGUGGUGCUGGAGACU